rnacentral:lncRNA from 10 species
AGAGAGAUAGAGAUGGAAGUCCUCUCAGAGGCCGGAAUUCCAAGCCUUCCUUUUACAGAGGAGAAAAUUUUGGCCCAGAAAAGGAAAGUGGGCUGCUCAAAGUCACGCAGCUAGCUAGUGGCAGAGCUGGACUGGAGCCCAGCCCUCGGGUUCCCAGCCCAGCAUGCCUUCCGCAGUGUUGGUGCGGCAGAGAGCUGGGGAGGUGUGGCUGCAGGGGCACCUUGCUGAGUAUGGACUGCAGGCCCGGGCUGGCAGGGCUGCUGGGCGGCUGCUGAUUAUAUCCGUAAUUCCGCCUUCUUAGAGGCAGAGACCCUUGAGCCAACAUGUGCCCCCCCAGGCCCACUGCUGCCCAAGGCAGGCUUGGGAUUGCAGCUUUCCUUUGGAGGAGUAGAUUUGCUUGUUUUGCUCAGAUUUUCCUUCUGCCUCUAAAAGACACCCCCAAAUAACCCUGUGUUCGGGAACAACAUUCAUUAGCUUAAUGAAAUGUAGUAGCUUCCAGUAGGAUGGAAGAAGGGGUCUCUUAGUGAGAGUCCCCUGUUGUGUGCUCUCAUGCACGAAUGGAGGGGAGGCUCCGGUUGGGUGGGUGGCAGGAGGCCGGAGGUCUAUUCUUAGCUCUGUUGCUAUGUGAUGUUGUGCAGGCCACUGAGGCUUCUUGUUCUUCCUGGUUCAAUCAGCUCUCAGUAUUCUGCCUCCUUUGCCCCGCCUUGGGCAUCACCAGCCAUGUCUCUUCAAAGUGAGGUGCCUCAGCUGGGUGGGCUGGGGAGGGAACACCGGAAUAUCUAGAAGUAUCAGUCAGAGUGCAGGUGGGAAACAAAUACCACACUCAAAUGAGGUAAUUAAGGAGAGUUUAAUAAAAUAAAUAUCUUCGAAGGAGGUUAUUGGGCCUUGGGUACCUAAUGGUCUGAGAGUCCCUCUAUCUCCCCUCUAGAGGCCUUCUUAUCCCUUCUAGAGAGGAGGCUCGGGGGCUGGGUAUCUUCCCCUUCCUUCUCUAGAUUCACUCUCCAGGCUCCUCCGUCUGCAGUGGUAAGGAAUGCAGCCCUGGGCCACCUUGCCUCCAGACAGGCAGCAGGAGCAUGGCACUGGGUCUGAUUCCCUGGCCCUCCCCACAGGUCAUUGCUGGUUGGCCAUAUUUCUCCCCGAGGCUACAGCUCCUUUUGGGUGGCUCUUUCCACACAGCUGUCCCUCUGGUUCUGGGAGCUCUUCUUUCCUGUGCUCCAUUUAGGACUAAGGAUAUGAUGAACACAGUGCUGUCUCCCUUAGGGAGCACAGAGUCUAGGGGAGGAGGUAUCUGCACUUGCUGGGGAAUCACUGCUCAGUGAGAAAGAUCUGCAGUGAUACAGCUUCCCAGCAGCCAGCAGAAUGGCAGGGACAGAAGGCUUCUUAGAGGCAGAGGCCCUUGAUUUGACUCUUGGCUAGAUCUGGUGGACACAGUCUGCACAGACACUACACGCAGCAGGAACAGUGCAUGCAGGGGCGCCACUGAGAACGGGAAUGACAAGGAGACCGGCUGCGUCAUCUAAGCACAGAGCAGGAUCUGCUGGUACUGAACUGUCAGUGGGUGAUUGGAUUAGCUGGCCCAAGCCUGAAGAGAGGAGGUGAGAAGCUUUCUCUGUGGCUGUGGCCUCCAGGACACAUCCUCAUGACCAGACUUCUUUCUUACCGUGAAAUUCCCAGCCUGUUUGGAAGGAGUAGAGAU